rnacentral:rRNA from 1 species
CCUACGGGGGGCAGCAGUGGGGAAUAUUGGACAAUGGGGGGAACCCUGAUCCAGCGACGCCCCGUGAGUGAAGAAGUAUUUCGGUAUGUAAAGCUCUAUCAGCAGGGAAGAAAGGAAUGACGGUACCUGACUAAGAAGCCCCGGCUAACUACGUGCCAGCAGCCGCGUUAAUACGUAGGGGGCAAGCGUUAUCCGGAUUUACUGGGUGUAAAGGGAGCGUAGACGGUUACGCAAGUCUGGAGUGAAAGGCGGGGGCCCAACCCCCGGACUGCUUUGGAAACUGGAUAACGGGAGUGCAGGAGAGGUAAGUGGAAUUCCUAGUGUAGCGGUGAAAUGCGUAGAUAUUAGGAGGAACACCAGUGGCGAAGGCGGCUUACUGGACUGUAACUGACGUUGAGGCUCGAAAGCGUGGGGAGCAAACAGGAUUAGAUACCCGAGUAGUC